rnacentral:tRNA from 1 species
UGCGGAUUGGAGAAGAGUAACCAGGCCAUCUCGCCUCGCUCAUAACGAGGAGACCGUUCGGUUCAAAUCCGGCAUCCGCAACCA